rnacentral:rRNA from 1 species
CACGUAGGCACCAAGCGUUAUCCGGAUUUAUUGGGCGUAAAGAGCUCGUAGGCGGUUCGGUAAGUCGGGUGUGAAAACUCUGGGCUCAACCCAGAGAGGCCACCCGAUACUGCUGUGACUAGAGUGCGGUAGGGGAGCGGGGAAUUCCUGGUGUAGCGGUGAAAUGUGCAGAUAUCAGGAGGAACACCAGCGGCGAAGGCGCCGCUCUGGGCCGUAACUGACGCUGAGGAGCGAAAGCAUGGGGAGCGAACAGG